rnacentral:sRNA from 2 species
UCCUAGCCCAGAUAGGAGCGACAUCCUUUUGUGCCGGGGUUCGGCGCAAAAGAUACAGCGGAUAGCUGGAAAUAGC